CCAGCAGCCAAUCCAGCUGUCCUGGGAAGGAAGAGGAGGAGCCAGAGCCGCCCCCGGGCCCUCACUGCUCAGUCCCGCGCUGAGCUCCGGCACCCGCUCCGCUCCUGCAAUCCCCGCAAGGCUACUGCUUCUUCCUCGCACAGACAUGGCCUUAAGUGCCGCUCCUGCAGCCGUGAAGAUUGGAAUAAUUGGUGGCACAGGCCUGGAUGAUCCAGAAAUCUUAGAAGGAAGAACUGAAAAAUAUGUGGAUACUCCAUUUGGCAAGCCUUCUGAUGCUUUAAUUUUGGGAAAGAUAAAGAAUGUCGACUGUGUCCUCCUUGCAAGGCAUGGGAGGCAACAUACCAUUAUGCCUUCAAAAGUCAACUAUCAGGCAAACAUCUGGGCUCUGAAAGAAGAAGGUUGUACACAUAUCAUAGUGACCACAGCUUGUGGUUCCUUGAAGGAAGAGAUUCAGCCCGGCGAUUUUAUCAUUAUCGAUCAGUUCAUUGACAGGACUACCAAAAGGCCUCAGACCUUCUAUGACGGAAACCAUUCCUGUGCCAGAGGAGUGUGCCAUAUUCCAAUGGCUGAGCCAUUCUGCCCUAAAACGAGAGAGGUCCUCAUAGAAACUGCUAAGAAGCUAGGACUCCGGUGCCACUCAAAAGGGACAAUGAUCACAAUUGAGGGACCUCGUUUUAGCUCCCGGACAGAAAGCCUCAUGUUCCAAACCUGGGGGGCGGAUGUUAUCAACAUGACCACAGUUCCAGAGGUGGUUCUUGCUAAGGAGGCUGGAAUUUGCUAUGCAAGUAUCGCCAUGGCAACAGAUUAUGAUUGCUGGAAGGAGCAUGAGGAAGUGGUUUCAGUGGACCGGGUUUUAAAGACCCUGAAAGAAAAUGCCAAUAAAGCCAAAAGUUUACUUCUUACUACCAUACCUCAGAUAGGAUCCAUGGAAUGGUCAGAAACCCUCCAUAACCUGAAGCCCUGGAACAAGAACCACAAUUUUAGUAUGAUGAGGACAUCAUCUGAUAAAUAAAUGACUGCCAACUGAUGGGCAUGGAGGGGACAUGAUUUGUAGCAUCUGCUGACUGACGUGGUAUAAAUGCGCUUGCAGAGCCAAUUUCACACUACCAACAUGAAGCCACUGAAAAUGGCCCAGUUUUCUGUUUUGUUACCAAGACAUUAAAAACAAGGAGACUUUCUAACUCCAGUCAUUGGGAAAUUCCUGCUUAACUUAUGAGAACAUGGAAAAGACAUGGAGCUUUUGUGCUCUUGCCCCCUAAGGAAGAACAAGUGAUAAGACAAGACUUUGCUCACAUCAGAGAUGCCUUCUAAAAGACCUGGACAGCUUCAAAUAAUAAAAGGAAAGCAAAUGAGCAGUAAAAUGUAGGGAAAAGCUUACACUUUAGAAAAAAGACAAGAAGAUCAUUUCAUCAUUUCCCCAUUAAAUUUGUAACAAUAAAAGAGUAGGCAGUAACAUCCAGUUUCUUUGUUGCCAAGGAAUGUGAAGAAGAAAUAGUUCUUGAGCUAUUUAUUGACAUGACUAUAAAUUGGUAGAAUCUUUUUGGAGGGCAAUUUGGUAAAAUAUAUCAAAAGGCUUGAAAAUAUUUAACACCCUUUGUGCUGGUUACUCCUAGGAAUUUAUCUUUAAGAAAUAUCAGAGAUACAUACAAAUAAUUAUGUAUAAAGAAGGGUGUAUAACAUACUAUAGUAGCAAAUAUUCAAAACAAUCUGAAUAUCCAGCUGGAGGUAAAUUAUCAUUAAGCUCUAAUCAGACUGUGAAGCAGCCAACUGAAGAUCAUGUUUUCACAUAAUAUUUAAUGGACUAAAGAAAUGGUUGAUGUAUAAUAUGAAAUGAAAAAGGGAUAUGUAACCACUUAACAGUACUAAUUUGUUUUAAAAAUUCUACAUAAAUAUGUACUAAGACUAGAAAGAAAUAUAUAUAUAUAUAUAUAAUCUCUUAUUGUAUUUGGGGGGAUACUAGAUAAUUUUGCAUUUUCUUUAUAUUUUUCCAUGUCUUCACAUAAUUCACAAUGAAUAUAAUCAAAUAAUAAAGUUAUUUUAAAAAUAAAAAUGGAUUUAGAAAGAUCCACUUGUGGAAACAGAGAUUCUGGUAAUGUAGCAAAACUUAAGAUGGUAAUACUAAGAGGUGUUCUGUUUACUAAGAGGUGUUCUGUUUGAGUUUCAUCUUUUUGUUACAAAAAAUAAUCAAUGACUAUAUAGUCAGAACAAUACUUGGGUUUGCAACAACUUGAGAAAAGCUAGCUGUUUAAUACAGAUCUAAUCUUAAUUUGUUUAAGAGACUGUAUACACACAUUAUAGUGUGUCAUAUUUUUAAAAUUGAUAUUUGACUUUGUUUCUACUUGUUUUAUGAUUUGAUGAAUUACUUUAAAUGAGUUCAUGGGGUUUUUUUAAAUAAAGAAAAUGUGAGCUUCUUACUGUUUUUUAUUGUCAAGUUUAUAGGAAUGUGUUUUGUUAUCGCAGGGAGAUCAUUUUUUUCCCUCAGGAUUAUUGCCCCUCACUGUUGUCUUAGUCCUUUAGGGAUGUAUCUCUUGUCUGUUUUAAGAGUCUGUAGAAUAAAUAUAUUUCUGUCUCAGAA